rnacentral:rRNA from 1 species
UCGAACGGUAACAGGAAGCAGCUUGCUGCUUCGCUGACGAGUGGCGGACGGGUGAGUAAUGUCUGGGAAACUGCCUGAUGGAGGGGGAUAACUACUGGAAACGGUAGCUAAUACCGCAUAACGUCGCAAGACCAAAGAGGGGGACCUUAGGGCCUCUUGCCAUCGGAUGUGCCCAGAUGGGAUUAGCUAGUAGGUGGGGUAACGGCUCACCUAGGCGACGAUCCCUAGCUGGUCUGAGAGGAUGACCAGCCACACUGGAACUGAGACACGGUCCAGACUCCUACGGGAGGCAGCAGUGGGGAAUAUUGCACAAUGGGCGCAAGCCUGAUGCAGCCAUGCCGCGUGUAUGAAGAAGGCCUUCGGGUUGUAAAGUACUUUCAGCGGGGAGGAAGGGAGUAAAGUUAAUACCUUUGCUCAUUGACGUUACCCGCAGAAGAAGCACCGGCUAACUCCGUGCCAGCAGCCGCGGUAAUACGGAGGGUGCAAGCGUUAAUCGGAAUUACUGGGCGUAAAGCGCACGCAGGCGGUUUGUUAAGUCAGAUGUGAAAUCCCCGGGCUCAACCUGGGAACUGCAUCUGAUACUGGCAGGCUUGAGUCUCGUAGAGGGGGGUAGAAUUCCAGGUGUAGCGGUGAAAUGCGUAGAGAUCUGGAGGAAUACCGGUGGCGAAGGCGGCCCCCUGGACAAGACUGACGCUCAG